UUAAUAAAUCUUUCACAAUCUAUUCUGUAGGGAAGAAGAUAAUUCAAGGAUUUUUGUACUUUUCUGACCUGUAUCUGAAGCUGUUUCUUUCUGGAAUGAAAAACCAUGAUGUGAGGAUAAUGAAGACUGAUUGUGUGCCUUGAUGCCAUUUCUCUGUCAUCUUGGAACUUGAAGGAAAUCUCAGAGGAUCAGAAAAUGCAAGGAAGCAUGGACAAUUUCCAAGAAGAGGGCGCUCAGGAAGUCACUGUAACACUUUUUGAUGACAUGGAAACUGAAAACAAAGUGAAACAAAAGUUUUGUGAAGUAAAGAGAAAGGAUGAGGUCCUUCUGUCCCCAGCUUUUACCAUAUCAUUUGGUGCACAUCCUAUGCGUGGGUAGGGAACACGAGAACAGGCGGUGUAUGACCAGAGGUAUUACAUACAUUUUGGAGACUUCCUUGGAGACAACCAACUACAAUGGAGAAAACCGAGUACUGACGUUGUUGCAAGUUUGGAGAAGAGAGGACAAAAAAAGGAAGAACUGUGCUGUUUGGAGAAAUUUGCUGGGUGCAAUUGCGUCUAACAGUAUAAAAACAAAGCAAGUAUGUAUGUGUCUGUUCCACUUUCAAGGCUGUAUGGCUAUCAGGCUAGACUGCAGAACUGGAUAUUUUCAGGCAAUGGGCUAAACCAAAUAAAUGUUGAUAUUCUA
rnacentral:lncRNA from 1 species